GUGGGGAAUCUUAGACAAUGGGCGCAAGCCUGAUCUAGCCAUGCCGCGUGAUCGAUGAAGGCCUUAGGGUUGUAAAGAUCUUUCAGUGGGGAAGAUAAUGACUGUACCCACAGAAGAAGCCCCGGCUAACUCCGUGCCAGCAGCCGCGGUAAUACGGAGGGGGCUAGCGUUGUUCGGAAUUACUGGGCGUAAAGCGCACGUAGGCGGACCGGAAAGUCAGAGGUGAAAUCCCAGAGCUCAACUUUGGAACUGCCUUUGAAACUCCUGGUCUUGAGGUCGAGAGAGGUGAGUGGAAUUCCGAGUGUAGAGGUGAAAUUCGUAGAUAUUCGGAGGAACACCAGAGGCGAAGGCGGCUCACUGGCUCGAUACUGACGCUGAGGUGCGAAAGCGUGGGGAGCAAACAGGAUUAGAAACCCUAGUAGUCC
rnacentral:rRNA from 1 species